GUCCACGCCGUAAACGUUGGGCACUAGGUGUGGGAUCUAUCGACGGUUUCCGUGCCGAAGCUAACGCAUUAAGUGCCCCGCCUGGGGAGUACGGCCGCAAGGCUAAAACUCAAAGGAAUUGACGGGGCCCGCACAAGCGGCGGAGCAUGUGGCUUAAUUCGAUGCAACGCGAAGAACCUUACCAAGGCUUGACAUGCUGGGUAAUCCGUGGAAACACGGUGAUCCUUCGGGAUCCAGCGCAGGUGGUGCAUGGCUGUCGU
rnacentral:rRNA from 1 species